rnacentral:rRNA from 1 species
AACGAACGCUGGCGGCAGGCUUAACACAUGCAAGUCGAACGCAUCCUUCGGGGUGAGUGGCAGACGGGUGAGUAUCGCGUGGGAAGGUGCCCUUCAGUUCGGGAUAACCCAGGGAAACUUGGGCUACUACCGGAUACGUGCGAGAGCAGAAAGAUUUAUCGUUGUAGGAUCGGCCCGUGUCAGAUUAGCUAGCUGGUGGGGUAAUGGCCCACCAAGGCCACGAUCAGUAGCUGGUCUGCGAGGAUGAUCAGCCACAUUGGGACUGAGACACGGCCCAAACUCCUACGGGAGGCAGCAGUGGUGAAUAUUGGACAAUGGGCGCAAGCCUGGUCCAGCCAUGCCGCGUGAGUGAUGAAGGCCUUAGGGUUGUAAAGCUCUUUCGUCCGGGACGAUAAUGACGGUACCGGAAGAAGAAGCCCCGGCUAACUUCGUGCCAGCAGCCGCUGUAA